UAUCGUGCAAGCUGAAGCGGUGCAUUCUCCCUUUCACCUUCUCCCCAUCAGAUGGAUUAUGUUGGUCAAAGUGAAAAUGUAAAUCGAAAACAACAAUCGUGGCUUUGAUUAGAAUUCUAGUGAUUCCGGUCAAUUACAGCAACUUUAAACUCGUUUUGCACUUCCGGGAAAUUGAAUCACGUGGUUCUCAAGAUACCGGGAUUAAGUUCUUCUUUCGAGUGAGUGUCGGUGAAAGCGAACGUGGUGUUGCCUCGAGUUGAGGGUCAUGGACCGAGACCCCUCGAGCUCCGUCCGCGAUCCAAGCUCAACGGACCCCAAGUCGGGCUCCGAUGGAGGGGAUGCAGGGAUCUGCAGGUUCAGGAUCCUGGACGUUCAGAACCUUGGUGAUGGAGGGGACGGCACGGACCUGGAACCCGAUCCUAUAGUGGUGGUGAAGGUGGAACCUGAACCUGCAGGUGGUUCUCCACCACCAGGUGAAAUGGAUCCAGUGGAAGCGGAAUAUUUCCAUGGAAACACUCUUCCAACUUCAAAGAGUGUACAUGUGAAGGAAGAGCUGGGUGAAGAUUCUCCCUCUGAAGAUGAGAAAUCGAGGACGAUCUUCAGGAUGUUUUCCUGCACCAAGAAUGUUCAUACCUCCAAAGAGAGAUCUUUACGACCAGACCAGAAGAGUCACUGUGCGAUUUGCAAGGAUUAUGAACAGAAUUUUAACCAUGACCAGGCAGGUGAGGACUUGCAGCCACAGAAAAGCGCAAUCGGAAGUGCUUUGUAUUUCAACUCCACUGAUUAUGAACUGUUCGCCCGUUGUGAGCAAGCCAUGGCGGUGUGGUGGGAAGAAGAGCAGCUAUGGCGAAUCAGUCAAGGGCACAAGGGGGACUAUGUAAUAAACAGCCUAAGACCUGCGAGAACAUUCUGGAUGGGGGGGGGAGGGGGUAGCAUGAAUGCUGUGGAAAAAACAGUACCGGAAUGAAUGAAUAAAAACUGGUGCAUGCUCUCUCGCUCUGACUCACGUUCUCACCUUCUUCAUCUCGCUGAUUCUCUUCAUAUACUGCUCUCUUCGGCUCUGCCGUGGACCAAGGAGGAGGAGAUCCCCUUCAUGCUGUAUGCCCCCAUCCAGAAUGCGACUCACGCAACAACAUCUUUGCCCUUUCCAAUCGUACUCCUGGCCCACUGACUGCCAAUCGUGAUCCUGUUCCACCGACCGCCAUCGCGCAAUUGGAAAGUGUUCACCUGCUUCUCCUUUGUGAGUAAGAGUGUGGUGUUUGGCGCCUUAGCUGUGUUUGGAUUGUUUAUUUCCUUAACAUUGUAUAAAAGUUUGCAUAUCCCCUCUCCUACACUUGUCUGUCAUGGCACUUGGUUUGUUUUGUUUUCCCCACAUCCCAUCCACCUCUUCUCCAUGUAUCUCUUUUUAUUAAAAAAUAAACUUUUAAAAGGGUAAGAGACCUUUUCCCAUCUUUUGCCUCAUGUGUGCAUUCCAACACUGAAUUUGGCUUUAUUCGGUAUAACCUUGGGGGAAUUGGAAAGUGAAUCCCAGCACAGAGGUAUUUGAACGCAGUUUAGCUUCUCACCUUUCGGUUGUUCGUGGGACAAAGGUCCCGGCGUUGAGGCAUAUCACGUUGGCGAGCCUCCGACGUGACAAUACCAAUGACUUUAAGAAGAUGGCAGGAUUCAGCCAAUCUGACAAGUGUAGGUUCUGCAAGGUUGAAACAGAAAGUACCAGUCACCUUCUUUCAUGAUGUAAAAAUCUCUUGUCAGAACAAUUGUGCACACAAAGGCACAACAAUGUAUUCAGAAUAGUCCAAUGGCCCAUCUGCAAAAACGUCAAUAUACCAGUGUCAGAUAAAUUGUGGAAGCACAAACCAAAAGCGAUCGUAGUUCUCAUGUAUGACCUGACCAUCCCAUUGAGAUUGAAUGUAGAAAACAAAGCAUUGUGACCUGACAUAGUACUUAGUACAAAAAAAAGAAAAGAUGGCAUUGCUAAUCAAGGUGGCGGUGCCCAGGAACAUUGGUCUAGAAAACUGACCAACUAUCAGGAUCUGGAAAAUAAGGUCAAGAGAAACUCCUGAUGCUGAAGAGCAACAACAUUGUACCAGUCAUAAUUCAAGUAAUGGGAAUGAUCAAGAAGCUCAUUGAGAUCUUAAAAUCAUUCUGGGGAAUAUUACUACAAACAAAAGACAUGACAGCAUCUGCAAAGUAAUCCACUGGCACAUCUGUAAACAUUUCAACAUCCCGGCCACAGAACAACCAUGGAUACACACGCCAAAUCCUAACCUUGAAAAUUAACAAAUAAUGCUCACGCAUGACAAGAUGAUCCCGUCAAGUUAGUGUGGACAUUGCAGACAAAGCAUACAUUAAAAAAAAUACUCAUGCAUAAAAAAAACAUCGUAAUCAAUUAUAAGUUCACAUGUCACAGAAAAAAAAAAUAGAAAAUGAGGAAGCAUCUCAAAAUGCAAAGCCUGUCCACUUUGCACUGUAAUUAACCUUGAUGAAAAUGACAGUUAAAAAACACUUUACAUUUUAUUUAUUUGUGUUCUCCAUAUUCUCAUAAUAAAAGUUUCUUGAAGAUUUGAUGCCAAAAUCUCAAUUGGUAAAAAUGUUAUGGCCUGGACAGACACAUUGAAGCUGUGUGUGUGUGUGUGUGUGUGUGUGUGGGUGUGUGUGUGCCCCCCC
ensembl:lincRNA